UAGGGAAUAUUGGACAAUGGGUGAGAGCCUGAUCCAGCCAUGCCGCGUGCAGGAAGAAGGCGUUAUGCGUUGUAAACUGCUUUUGCCAGGGGAUAAAAAGACCGUGCGCGGUUAAUUGAAGGUACCUGGUGAAUAAGCCACGGCUAACUACGUGCCAGCAGCCGCGGUAAUACGUAGGUGGCAAGCGUUGUCCGGAUUUAUUGGGUUUAAAGGGUGCGUAGGUGGCCCUGUAAGUCAGUGGUGAAAUAUCUCAGCUUAACUGAGAGGGUGCCAUUGAUACUGCAGGGCUUGAGUACAGAUGAGGUAGGCGGAAUUGACGGUGUAGCGGUGAAAUGCGUAGAGAUCGGAAGGAACACCAGUGGCGAAGGCGGCUACCUGGCCUAAUACUGACACUGAGGCACGAAAGCGUGGGGAGCAAACAGGAUUAGAUACCCUAGUAGUCCCUGAGCGGGCUGGCAAGGCGCAU
rnacentral:rRNA from 1 species